UACAGAGGCCCCAAGCGUUACUGAGAAUCACUGGGUUUAAAGGGUGCGUAGGUGGCGCGUUAAGUCCGUUGUGAAAUCCCUUGGCUCAACCAAGGAACUGCUUCGGAUACUGGCGUGCUUGAGGCUAGUAGAGGUCACUGGAACUGACGGUGGAGCGGUGAAAUGCGUAGAUAUCGUCAGGAACGCCAAUGGUGAAGACAGGUGACUGGGCUAGUUCUGACACUGAGGCACGAAGGCCAGGGGAGCAAACGGG
rnacentral:rRNA from 1 species